AUUGAACGCUGGCGGCAGGCCUAACACAUGCAAGUCGAGCGGAUGAAGGGAGCUUGCUCCUGGAUUCAGCGGCGGACGGGUGAGUAAUGCCUAGGAAUCUGCCUGGUAGUUGGUGAUAACGUCCGGAAACGGGCGCUAAUACCUCAUACGUCCUGAGGGAGAAAGUGGGGGAUCUUCGGACCUCACGCUAUCAGAUGAGCCUAGGUCGGAUUAGCUAGUUGGUGGGGUAAAGGCCUACCAAGGCGACGAUCCGUAACUGGUCUGAGAGGAUGAUCAGUCACACUGGAACUGAGACACGGUCCAGACUCCUACGGGAGGCAGCAGUGGGGAAUAUUGGACAAUGGGCGAAAGCCUGAUCCAGCCAUGCCGCGUGUGUGAAGAAGGUCUUCGGAUUGUAAAGCACUUUAAGUUGGGAGGAAGGGCAGUAAGUUAAUACCUUGCUGUUUUGACGUUACCAACAGAAUAAGCACCGGCUAACUUCGUG
rnacentral:rRNA from 1 species